ACGACCUUACUUUGUAGGAUCUUUUCUAUAGAGUCGUACGACCGUGUCCUUGAUUGUAGAGGAGACGGGCAACUCCGUCUGGAGGAGGACGUGGGACCUCGUUGCCAGAGCGUGAUGAACGGUCUUUGAUCUUACGAGAUCUGAAGGCUGUAGAGGAUCGUUCUCAACUCUUACCCGAAAGGGUUGGGGUGGCUUCAAGGUUGUCUGACAGACU